AGAGUUUGAGUCCUGGCUCAGGAUGAACGCUGGCGGCGUGCUUAACACAUGCAAGUCGAACGAGGUUUUUAUGGGACAAUCACUUCGGUGAGAGGAAGUGAAAACCGAGUGGCGGACGGGUGAGUAACGCGUGGGGAACCUGCCUUAUACCGGGGGAUAACAGUUAGAAAUGACUGCUAAUACCGCAUAAGCGCACGAAGAGGCAUCUCUUUGUGUGAAAAACUCCGGUGGUAUAAGAUGGACCCGCGUUGGAUUAGCCAGUUGGCGGGGUAACGGCCCACCAAAGCGACGAUCCAUAGCCGGACUGAGAGGUCGAACGGCCACAUUGGGACUGAGACACGGCCCAGACUCCUACGGGAGGCAGCAGUGGGGAAUAUUGCACAAUGGAGGAAACUCUGAUGCAGCGACGCCGCGUGAGUGAUGAAGUAUUUCGGUAUGUAAAGCUCUAUCAGCAGGGAAGAUAAUGACGGUACCUGACUAAGAAGCACCGGCUAAAUACGUGCC
rnacentral:rRNA from 1 species